UACGGGGGGGAGCAAGCGUUGUUCGGAUUUACUGGGCGUAAAGGGCGCGUAGGCGGUCGUGACAAGUCACUUGUGAAAUCUCCGGGCUUAACUCGGAACGGUCAAGUGAUACUGUCGGACUAGAGUACAGAAGGGGCAACUGGAAUUCUCGGUGUAGCGGUGAAAUGCGUAGAUAUCGAGAGGAACACCUGCGGCGAAGGCGGGUUGCUGGGACGUAACUGACGCUGAGACGCGAAAGCGUGGGGAGCAAACAGG
rnacentral:rRNA from 1 species